UACAGAGGUCUCAAGCGUUGUUCGGAUUCAUUGGGCGUAAAGGGUGCGUAGGCGGCGCGGUAAGUCGGGUGUGAAAUCUCGGAGCUUAACUCCGAAACUGCAUUCGAUACUGCGGUGCUUGAGGACUGGAGAGGAGACUGGAAUUCAUGGUGUAGCAGUGAAAUGCGUAGAGAUCAUGAGGAAGACCAGUGGCGAAGGCGGGUCUCUGGACAGUUCCUGACACUGAGGCACGAAGGCCGGGGGAGCAAACGGG
rnacentral:rRNA from 1 species